GGGCGAUUAGCUCAGUUGGGAGAGCACCUCCCUUACAAGGAGGGGGUCACUGGUUCGAGCCCAGUAUCGCCCA
rfam:Photobacterium profundum SS9